rnacentral:rRNA from 1 species
ACGGGAGGCAGCAGUGGGGAAUAUUGGGCAAUGGGCGAAAGUCUGACCCAGCGACGCCGCGUGAGGGAAGAAGGUCUUCGGAUUGUAAACCUCUUUCAGCAGGGAAGAAGAAAGUGACGGUACCUGCAGAAGAAGUCACGGCUAACUACGUGCCAGCAGCCGCGGUAAUACGUAGGUGGCGAGCGUUAUCCGGAAUUACUGGGUGUAAAGGGUGUGUAGGCGGGGAAGCAAGUCAGAUGUGAAAAUUAUGGGCUCAACUCAUAACCUGCAUUUGAAACUGUUUUUCUUGAGAGUGGGAGAGGUAAACGGAAUUCCUGGUGUAGUAGUGAAAUGCGUAGAUAUCAGGAGGAACACCGGUGGCGAAGGCGGUUUACUGGACCACAACUGACGCUGAGACACGAAAGCGUGGGGAGCA